UGGUGGAGUGAUUUGUCUGGUUAAUUCCGAUAACGAACGAGACUCUGUCCUGCUAACUAGGUUGUGUUUUCUCGGGUUGGUGUUUCUGGUGUUCCUUCUCGGGGCGCCGGCCCAAUCCACUUGUGGACACAACACUCUUCUUAGAGGGACUGGCGGCUGUUAGCCGCACGAGAUAGAGCAAUAACA
rnacentral:rRNA from 1 species